rnacentral:rRNA from 1 species
AUUGAACGCUGGCGGCAGGCCUAACACAUGCAAGUCGAACGAGUGGCGGACGGGUGAGUAAUGUCUGGGAAACUGCCUGAUGGAGGGGGAUAACUACUGGAAACGGUAGCUAAUACCGCAUACCAUCGGAUGUGCCCAGCUGGGAUGAGCUAGUAGGUGGGGUAAAGGCUCACCUAGGCGACGAUCCCUCGCUGGUCUGAGAGGAGGCCCCGCCACACUGGCCCUGAGACACGGUCUAGACUCCUACGUGAGGCAGCAUGGGGGAAUAUUGCACAAUGGGCGCAAGCCUGAUGCAGCCAUGCCGCGUGUAUGAAGAAGGCCUUCGGGUUGUAAAGUACUUUCAGCGGGGAGGCGUUACCCGCAGAAGAAGCACCGGCUAACUCCGUGCCAGCAGCCGCGGUAAUAC